rnacentral:rRNA from 1 species
GACGAACGCUGGCGGCGUGCCUAAUACAUGCAAGUAGAACGCUGAAGGAGGAGCUUGCUUCUCUGGAUGAGUUGCGAACGGGUGAGUAACGCGUAGGUAACCUGCCUGGUAGCGGGGUUAACUAUUGGAAACGAUAGCUAAUACCGCAUAAGAGUAGAUGUCGCAUGACAUUUGCUUAAAAGGUGCAAUUGCAUCACUACCAGAUGGACCUGCGUUGUAUUAGCUAGUUGGUGAGGUAACGGCUCACCAAGGCAACGAUACAUAGCCGACCUGAGAGGGUGAUCGGCCAAACUGGGACUGAGACACGGCCCAGACUCCUACGGGAGGCAGCAGUAGGGAAUCUUCGGCAAUGGACGGAAGUCUGACCGAGCAAAGCCGCGUGAGUGAAGAAGGUUUUCGGAUCGUAAAGCUCUGUUGUAAGAGAAGAACGAGUGUGAGAGUGGAAAGUUCACACUGUGACGGUAUCUUACCAGAAAGGGACGGCUAACUACGUG